AAGAAACCUAAGCCAAAAUCAUAUUCAUGAGUACCCAUGUUUCGUUAAUUUUCUAGGGCAUACCAAGUGUACAAGUGCAAUGGUGGGCAUUGUCCGAAUAAAACGAGUUUUAAGUCGUGUAAACCCAUUCAUAUAGAGUGUGCUCAACAAAUCGGCGGAACUGAGUGUGGCUAUUACGUUAUGAAGUUCAUGUUAGAGAUAGUCACGUUACAACAUGACUAUGAAGGCCGACUAGAUGAGGUCUAUACUCCGAGGACUGCGCCUUAUGCUAGUGAGGAAAUUGAUGUGGUUCGUGAGCAAUGGGCGAAGUUUUUUACCACCAAGUAUUUAUUAUUGACCUGAGGGCGCUUGAUCGUGUUGGUUUAGA